rnacentral:rRNA from 1 species
GAUGAACGCUGGCGGCGUGCCUAAUACAUGCAAGUCGAGCGGACGGACGAUAAGCUUGCUUCUCUGAUGUUAGCGGCGGACGGGUGAGUAACACGUGUAUACCCUACCUAUAAGACUGGGAUAACUUCGGAAAACCGUAUCUAAUACCGGAUAAUAUUUUGAACCGCAUGGUUCAAAGGUGAAAGACGGUCUUGCUGUCACUUAUAGAUGGAUCCGCGCUGCAUUAGCUAGUUGGUAGGUUAACGGCUUACGAAGGCAACGAUGCAUAGACGACCGGAGAGGGUGAUAGGCCACACUGGAACUGAGCCGCGGUCCAGAGUCCUGCGGGAGGGAGCAGUAGGGAAUGUGAGGCAGUGGGGGAAAGUAUGACGGAGCAACGGCGAGUGAGUGAUGAAGGUGUUCGGAUCGUAAAACUCUGUUAUUAGGGAAGAACAUAUGUGUAAGUAACUGUGCAGAGCUUGACGGUACCUAAUCAGAAAGCCACGGCUAACUACGUG